UACGUAGGUGGCAAGCGUUAUCCGGAAUUACUGGGUGUAAAGGGUGUGUAGGCGGGAGGACAAGUCAGACGUGAAAACUUAAGGCUCAACCUUAAGCCUGCGUUUGAAACUGUCCUUCUUGAGAGUGGGAGAGGUAAACGGAAUUCCUGGUGUAGUAGUGAAAUGCGUAGAUAUCAGGAGGAACACCGGUGGCGAAGGCGGUUUACUGGACCACAACUGACGCUGAGACACGAAAGCGUGGGGAG
rnacentral:rRNA from 1 species